rnacentral:rRNA from 1 species
AGAGUUUGAUCAUGGCUCAGGAUGAGCGCUAGCUACAGGCUUAACACAUGCAAGUCGAGGGGAAACGACAUCGAAAGCUUGCUUUUGAUGGGCGUCGACCGGCGCACGGGUGAGUAACGCGUAUCCAACCUGCCCAUCACUUGGGGAUAACCUUGCGAAAGUAAGACUAAUACCCAAUGACGUCUCUAGAAGACAUCUGAAAGAGAUUAAAGAAUUUAUCGGUGAUGGAGUGGGGAGUGCGUCUGAUUAGCUUGUUGGCGGGGUAACGGCCCACCAAGGCGACGAUCAGUAGGGGUUCUGAGAGGAAGGUCCCCCACCAGUUGGAACUGAGGACACGGUCCAAACUCCUACGGGAGGCA